UACGUAGGGCCCGAGCGUAUCCGGUAUUAUUGGGCGUAAAGAAUACGUAGGCGGUUUGGUAAGACAAUGGUUAAAGCUCCGAGCUCAACUCGGAAAUCGCCGUUGUUACUGCCAAACUAGUCGGUAGCAGGGGCAAGCGGAAUUCUCGGUGUAGGAGUGAAAUCCGUUGAGAUCGAGAAGAACACCAAUGGCGAAGGCAGCUUGCUAGGCUAUUGAGACGCUGAGGUAUGAAAGCGUGGGUAGCGAACGGG
rnacentral:rRNA from 1 species